rnacentral:ncRNA from 1 species
AUUCCAGAGGUGGUGCACACGCACCACUCCGGCAGCAAGCGAAGGUGUCAUUGACGCCCGUGGUAUGGUCCCCCCGGCUAUACCACGAAUUUUUUUU